rnacentral:rRNA from 1 species
UAGGGAAUCUUCGGCAAUGGACGAAAGUCUGACCGAGCAACGCCGCGUGAGUGAAGAAGGUUUUCGGAUCGUAAAACUCUGUUGUUAGAGAAGAACAAGGACGUUAGUAACUGAACGUCCCCUGACGGUAUCUAACCAGAAAGCCACGGCUAACUACGUGCCAGCAGCCGCGGUAAUACGUAGGUGGCAAGCGUUGUCCGGAUUUAUUGGGCGUAAAGCGAGCGCAGGCGGUUUCUUAAGUCUGAUGUGAAAGCCCCCGGCUCAACCGGGGAGGGUCAUUGGAAACUGGGAGACUUGAGUGCAGAAGAGGAGAGUGGAAUUCCAUGUGUAGCGGUGAAAUGCGUAGAUAUAUGGAGGAACACCAGUGGCGAAAGCGGCUCUCUGGUCUGUAACUGACGCUGAGGCUCGAAAGCGUGGGGAGCAAACAGG